rnacentral:rRNA from 1 species
UACGAAGGGUGCAAGCGUUACUCGGAAUUACUGGGCGUAAAGCGUGCGUAGGCGGUUUGUUAAGUCUGUCGUGAAAGCCCCGGGCUCAACCUGGGAAUGGCGAUGGAUACUGGCGAGCUAGAGUAAGGUAGGGGUAGAGGGAAUUCCUGGUGUAGCGGUGAAAUGCGCAGAUAUCAGGAGGAACACCGGUGGCGAAGGCGGUUCUCUGGGCAUUACCUGACGCUGAGGAGCGAAAGUGUGGGGAGCGAACAGG